AUUUAUAACAAGAAGUAAUUGUAACAGGAUGCUGUUACGAAGUCUCCCAAACAAAGCUCCCAUAACUCACCAUUCAUAUGGUCCCAUGUUCAUUUGAUUUGAUUUUUUGUCUCAUAAAAAAAUAUAUAUGGCUUACGAGUGGGGAUCUCCACCAUUUACAAGUAUUCAAACAGGAGGGGGUGGUGAUGACCCUCAGGGACUUUACCUACAUUUCAUUUGAUUAGUUUUAUUGUCCCAUACAAGAAUAUAUAUGGUUAAGGGUGGGGAUGUUGACCGUUU
rnacentral:lncRNA from 1 species